AGAGCAGUUUGUUCUGGAAUGUGAAGGGAUCGCCAGGAGAGGAGGCUGGGGUGAGCAAGGCUGUUAGUCACGGAAGGGCUCAGUGCCCAUCCCGCAGAAACUGUCUGAUCUCUCAGGCUGUCAGCUGUUGCUGGGUUCUCAUUCCCCUCCUCCUCAGCUUGGCUCUGGAACCAGGGCCUGCUGUAUGGCUGACUCCUGGGACUCUGGAUCUGACGGGCAGGUGCUUAAGUGGCUGGACACUGAGUCACUGAAGCUGAGUUCUUGGUCCUGAGAAAGAAAGGCUUAUCUUACUAGCAGCAAGGGCUUCUCCUCCCCGCAGUGAAAGGAAAGUUUCAUGUCAGGGAAGUGAAGAGAUAAAAUUUUACAACUAUAAGUCCUUGAUCAUGAUCCAAACUUUUUUCAUGCCGUCAACAGCACUUACUGUCCCUACCUGGGGAGAAGUGAAGCAUUGAAGAAGGAGGGG